GCGGGGGUUGAACCCAGGCCCAUCAGCAGGCAGAUUCUUCACCACCGGGUCACCCGGGAAGCUUCUAUGGGUGAAGAAACCACAGAUGAAGAUACUGGCUCAGUCAGGAAGCUAGAUAACAGAGACAGGGCUCAGCUGCCCUGGCUGAUAGCAACUCCUGCUAUCCUCACAAUCCUGUCUCUUCCAGAUACCAGUUACAGAGACCAUGGAAACAUUUGUAUGUGUGAUCUUUGUGACAAAUGGAGACAUUUGUGACAUGGAGAGACCUAGAUUACACUCUGGAUCCCCUAGUCUUCUCUUGGCUAGCAUGGCCUUCCAGAAGGCCAGAAGACCAGCCCUAAGGAUGCCAUAAAAAGGUGAUGUUAAGACACACAAAGAGACUUCAUGGACAUGGGUGUCUGGAGGAAAGACCAUGUGAGGACCCAGUCAGAAGGCAUUCGUCUAUAAGCCAAAGAGGCCUCAGGAGAAACCAA